rnacentral:tRNA from 1 species
GCCGGUGUGGCUCAGUGGGUAGAGCGUCGGCCUGUGGACUGAAGGGUCCUGGGUUCAAUUCCGGGCAAGGGCA